rnacentral:ncRNA from 2 species
UAAAAUACAUACAAAGUAGGUGUCAGUUAUAAUUGAAAGUUUGAUUAUGAACUGGUGAAAAGGGAAGCUGGGUGAAAGUCCCACACGGUCCCGCCGCUGUAAGAGAGGAGUUUUUCUUAACAAAACCACUGGUAUCUUAAGAUAUUGGGAAGGGUAGAAAAAUUAUGAUACUCAAGUCAGAAGACCUGCCUAUUUUUGUACACCAAU